UCCGUUGAAAAGGUUCAACGUGCUGCGUGUAGCGUUCAUUUCCUAAAUGAAUUCAUGGCUGAAGCGAUACCCGGCGCGGCUCUCACUGUGACACCACAGAAGAAACAACCGUCUGUGGCUUUUGUCGUUCUUUCCUCCAGGUUUUGUCUGCUGUUUUUUGUUGAAAGCCGCCGCCACAUAUUUUAACAACAGUCGCUGUUUGUGGCCGGGGUUGACUCAUCUGUUCGUGGGGGGGUAAAAAUGAAAUGGCGCACGCCUGGCUUUGUGUCUUCACCGGUUGCUCGGCAACACAGACAUAACUGUGUUGCAUGGUGAAAGCGUGUCCCGGCCAUGAAACACAUUUUCGCCGCACUGAAUGAACUCCGGAAAGAGAUAAAAGCCAGGAAAGUUUCAGUUUUUUAGAACGUUUUAUCGGAGCUAACUGCAGGUGAUCUCUCUGUUUAUUACCCAAACUAAAGAGCUAUAAUCCAGCAAUCCACCUUAUUUUUCGCUCGACUUCACCAACGGUAGUCCUAGAGUGGCCCUUCCAAGGAAACCAGUGGAAUGAGCUACGAGAGCGUCAGCAAAUGGCUCAGAAAAAAAGCUGACAUUUGUUGGCAUGACGGUUGAGAAAUGGAGGAAAUGUGAGCCGGCCGUCGUGUACAGACUGCAAAUCAUAGGACAAAUUCUUAUGUAUGCAACCAGCGUAGUGUUGGUGGAGACACGAAAACAAAUAGGAACCUACACUCUGCACUAAGUGAACAUGACGGGGAACCAGCAGAGAAUAAAGAAAACCAAGGAACUCAUGCUGUGUUACAGUUGUACUCAGAAUUUGGGGAAAUUCCAACUUCAAAGUAGAAAAAAAAUAAAUAAAUCAACUGGAACGCCCUCUGAAGUCGGAUUUCCCACUCUGGAAACCGGGAGCAACUCCGACUACUCCUGUUAGGACUAGCAAGGCCGCUCCUCUCAUCAGCAGCAGUAAGAAGUGAUUUUACAAGACACACCAGUCAGGGUGCGUCUGAGGUGUUGCAUGCAGCGCCUCCAACUGUAAAGUGGACGAACUGAAAGCGCUAUUUGUGCUUAAAAUGAUGUUUUUGUGAGAGGUUUCUGCUCACACUGAUUAUUGCCGUGUUGAAAUUUCGACUUCUUGACUAGAACCCUGCUGCUUAUAGUUACCCACUUCCCAGCAUCAAAUCCUGAGGAGUGAAGCCAGGUGAGUAAUUAGAGGGAUGAGGAGCAGCUGCUGAGACGGGUCGCUGAGGGAAGGAGACCAGUUAACACAGAGACAGCUGAACCGAGGUUAUGUUGACCUUGGUGCAAGCAACAACUACGAAUAGGAGCGUUUACACAGUUUUGUGAAAUGUGGGAUGAAGAUGGAGGUUCUCCUUGGAUUCAGGAGAGAUUCCAGGAUGGCACUGAGGUAAAGGGAAAUCCACUCCACUGAACUGGAUGCAUGUCAGCGGUGGGAGAACAAACGCCAAUCACACCUUGCAAAUGAGUGGAGGGCAAGAGGAAGAACAGCUGCGUUGAAAACUGUUCAUGAGAUUGGAGUAAAGACAGGAUGGGAACAAAGGGUAUCUGUGUCUCUUGACUCCUUUGGCGAGAGCUCAGGAGGACUGGAUGCUGCGUAAUCGACGGAGUCUGAGGCUGGCAGAAGCGAACGGGGAUUUGGCCGCGUGUUUUCGCUGUUCUUUGCCUCUUCGGAGCGGUGUGGAUCCAGGCGAAAGGGCGGACAGGCAUGCAAAUGUUUCCCAGGAGGAAGACGAAGUCCAGCUGAUGUUUUUUUUUCUUCUUUUUUUGUUUUUUUUUUUGUCUUGAGGAGGUGGAAGACUGGCGUUGAAGCCGAGACAAGGAAUGAAGACCUUGUUCUGAAGGAGUUCUGAAAUCCAGGGAGAACGUGCAGCAGGUCAGGAAGGAAGGGAAUUUAUCACCGUGACGCCACGAGCAAACUGGUGACUGUCCUUUUCCUCUGCCGUUCAUGUCGCCUCCUGAUGAGGCCUAACAAGAUGCAGCUGCGGAUGGAUGCAGCAGAGACAACACACACAGUUGUGUUUUUUCUGUUCUACAUUACAACUUUGUUUUGACUUCCUCUCA